rnacentral:rRNA from 1 species
AGGCUGAAACUCGCCUACAUGAGGCUGGAAUUGCUAGUAAUCACAGGUCAGCAUACUGUGGUGAAUACGUUCCCGGGCCUUGUACACACCGCCCGUCACACCAUGAGAGUUGAGAAUACCCGAAGCCCAUGUCAAAGUGGUCGAAGGUAGGCUUGAUGAUUGGGGUGAAGUCGUAACAAGGUAUC